rnacentral:lncRNA from 1 species
AAAAUGAUUGAUAACAUGGUAGAGAAAGAAUUAUUAGAGCAUGUAUGUGUUCUAAGGGGACCAUUGAUUUUAUUUCAUUCGGCUGGUAUGCAAGUACAUUAUUCAAAAAGGAAAUAAAGGACUGAUAGUUUUAGCAUUUCUUCUCCCUAUGUUCGUGUACUCAUGUUAGUUCAGCUCAAGAUUUUAGUUGUAAGGUUGCUACAAUACCGAGUGAAC